AGUGAACGCUGGCGGUAGGCCUAACACAUGCAAGUCGAACGGCAGCACAGUAAGAGCUUGCUCUUACGGGUGGCGAGUGGCGGACGGGUGAGGAAUACAUCGGAAUCUACUUUUUCGUGGGGGAUAACGUAGGGAAACUUACGCUAAUACCGCAUACGACCUACGGGUGAAAGCAGGGGAUCUUCGGACCUUGCGCGAUUGAAUGAGCCGAUGUCGGAUUAGCUAGUUGGCGGGGUAAAGGCCCACCAAGGCGACGAUCCGUAGCUGGUCUGAGAGGAUGAUCAGCCACACUGGAACUGAGACACGGUCCAGACUCCUACGGGAGGCAGCAGUAGGGAAUAUUGGACAAUGGGCGCAAGCCUGAUCCAGCCAUACCGCGUGGGUGAAGAAGGCCUUCGGGUUGUAAAGCCCUUUUGUUGGGAAAGAAAAGCAGCAGGUUAAUACCCCGCUGUUCUGACGGUACCCAAAGAAUAAGCAACGGCUAACUUCGUG
rnacentral:rRNA from 1 species